rnacentral:rRNA from 1 species
UACGUAGGGCGCAAGCGUUGUCCGGAAUUAUUGGGCGUAAAGAGCUCGUAGGCGGUUUGUCGCGUCUGCUGUGAAAACUGGGGGCUCAACCCCCAGCCUGCAGUGGGUACGGGCAGACUAGAGUGCGGUAGGGGAGAUUGGAAUUCCUGGUGUAGCGGUGGAAUGCGCAGAGUAUCAGGAGGAACACCGAUGGCGAAGGCAGAUCUCUGGGCCGUAACUGACGCUGAGGAGCGAAAGUGUGGGGAGCGAACAGG